rnacentral:rRNA from 1 species
UAACUCCGUGCCACCACCCCCGGUAAUACGGAGGAUGCAGGCGUUAUCCGGAUUUAUUAGCUUAAAAGGGUGUUCAGGCUGUCUGGUAAGUCAGAGGUGAAAGUCGGUUGCUUAACGAUCGAAUUGCCUUUGAAACUGUCAGACUUGAGUAUGGAUGUGGUAGGCGGAAUGUGUAGUGUANCGGUGAAAUGCAUAGAUAUUACACAGAACUCCAAUUGCGAAAGCAGCUUACCAAACCAGCACUGACGCUGAAGCACGAAAGCGUGGGUAGCGAACAGGAUUAGAUACCCUGGUAGUCCACGCAGUAAACGAUGCUCACUCGCUGUUGGCAAUACACCGUCAGCGGCUAAGGGAAACCGGUAAGUGAGCCACCUGGGGAGUACGAUCGCAAGAUUGAAACUCAAAGGAAUUGACGGGGGCCCGCACAAGCGGUGGAACAUGUGGUUUAAUUCGAUGAUACGCGAGGAACCUUACCUGGGCUUAAAUGUGAAGUGCAUUGUUUGGAAACAGACAUUUCCUUCGGGACUCUUUACAAGGUGCUGCAUGGUUGUCGUCAGCUCGUGCCGUGAGGUGUCGGGUUAAGUCCCAUAACGAGCGCAACCCCUAUUGUUAGUUACCAGCGCGUCAAGGCGGGGACUCUAACGAGACUGCCGGUGUAAACCGCGAGGAAGGUGGGGAUGACGUCAAAUCAGCACGGCCCUUAUGUCCAGGGCUACACACGUGUUACAAUGGUCGGUACAGAGGGCAGCUAGGCAGCGAUGUCAAGCGAAUCUCGAAAGCCGAUCCCAGUUCGGAUUGGAGUCUGCAACCCGACUCCAUGAAGGUGGAAUCGCUAGUAAUCGCGCAUCAGCCAUGGCGCGGUGAAUACGUUCCCGGGCCUUGUACACACCGCCCGUCAAGCCAUGGAAGUCUGGGGUGCCUGAAGGCCGUAACCGCAAGGAGCGGUCUAGGGUAAAACANGAUGACUGGGGCUAAGUCGUAACAAG